AUGGCCGUGGACCUGCAGCGCCUGCGCCACAUGCUGCUCGCCACCGGCGGCGGCCACCACCAGCUCGCCAACCGGCCGGGCGCCUCCGCGGCUGCCAUGCCUGCGAGCGGGCCUUGCUACGGCGCCGCGGUGACGGGCCAGCCGUACGCGGACCUCUUCACGCCGCCGCCGACGAUGUCGGCCGCGGACCAGUACUCGGAGCUGUUGGCGCUGGCCGCGGUUGAUCUGGCGAGGAAGGGCGACGGCGCCCAGGAAAUGACCUCCGGCAACAAGCGGAGGCGCGUCGACGAGGGGUCCUCGUCGGUGCUCGGCGAAGUUCUUGCGGCCCACGCGCAACAGCAGGCCGUCGCCGUCGACCACAUCCUGCACAGACAUGCGAGAAAGAUGUGGGCUGCUCUGGCGGAGCAGAGGCGGAGCCACCUGCGGCUCAUCGUCUCCACCGUGGAGGCCAGGGCGGCGAAGCGGCUCAAGGCCAAGGACGACGAGGUCGAGCGGGUCCGGGGCAUGAACUGGGCGCUGGAGGAGCGCCUCAGGAGCCUCUACAUGGAGGCUCAGAUGUGGCGCGACGUCGCGCAGUCCCACGACACCGCCGCCAACGUGCUCCGCGCCGACCUGCAGCGGGUGCUCGACGCGCAGGCGGUCCGCGGCGGCGGCGGCGGCGGCGGCGACGGCGACGGUCAGGACGACGCCGAGUCGUGCUGCUGGGGGGAGAACCAGGUGCCCGUCUGCGUGGAGGAGGCCGAGGUGGGCACGCCGGCCCCGACAGGAGGAGUCGGAAGGUGCAAGGGGUGCGGCGACGGCGCGGCCGCGGUGCUGCUGCUGCCGUGCCGGCACCUCUCCGUGUGCGCGCCGUGCGCGGCCUCGGCGCAGGCGUGCCCGUCGUGCGGAUGCGCCAAGAACGGCAGCGUCUGCGUCAACUUUUCGUGA
rnacentral:rRNA from 1 species